AAAAAAGGAAAAUAUGACAAUUUUUCAGCAGUACGUAUUUUUUUACCCUUUGUAUUUUGUUUAUACAAUCAUAAAGUGAUUAUGAACCAGAGAUUUCUAUUAAAUACUGUAAGCGAAAUAAUUAUAUUAAGUAAAUCCUCAAUUAUAUAAAUCAAUCAAACAUGUAAUCAAUAACAAACAUUCACAUUAAAUACUUUAGAAAGAUAUGUAUUGAACAUCAAAAUUAAUUAAAUAUAUACUUAUAUCCUUAAGAACAUAAAAUGUUAUCUUCUAUAUUCUGAUAAUUAAACAAUUAACAUACGUUAUAAAGAUUAAAAAAUAUGCUAAAAUACUAAAUAUAAGUAGAAAAUGAAAAAGAAAAAAAAGAAAAUAGAAUAAUUACAAGAAAAUGAAUAAGAGAUCAUAAGGUAUAAAGGAAACCAACUCAAUCAUUUUUCCAGUGUUACAUUAGCAUCACCUUUAUUAUUUUAAGAUCCUUAUAAUCCUAACAAACAUCUCAAUAUCAUCAAAGCUAUACGAAAAACCCUAUCAUAAUCAUUGGUGACGCAAGAAUAAAAUUGAAUAUAAGAGUAAACACAUAUGAAUAGAGUGACAAAAUAAAAAAGUUAGAGAUGUGUAACCUUCAAAAGAUCAACCUAUAUCAGAAAUCACUUGAUCUGUACAUUUGAUAGAUAAGAAAAAAAAUUACUCAUAAAAGAUAGUAAAAAAAGGAAAAUAUGACAAUUUUUCAGCAGUACGUAUUUUUUUACACUUUGUAUUUUGUUUAUACAAUCAUAAAGUGAUGAUGAACCAGAGAUUUCUAUUAAAUAAUUUAAACUAAAUAUUUCUAUUAAGUACAUCCUCAAUUAUAAAAAUCAAUCAAACAUGUAAUGAGUAACAAACCUUGACAUUAAUUAGUUUAGAAAGAUAUGUAUUGAACAUCAAAAUUAAUUAAAUAUAUACUUAUAUCCUAAAGAACAUAAAAUGUCAUCUUCUAUAUUCUGAUAAUUAAACAAUUAACAUAAGUUAUAUAGAUUAAAAAAUAUGCUAAAAUACUAAUUAUAAGUAGAAAAUGAAAAAGAAAAAAAGAAAAAAGAAUAAUUACAAGAAAAUGAAAAAGAAAAAAAGAAAAUAGAAUAAUUACAAGACAAUGAAAAUGAGACCGUAUGUAUUAAAGGAAACCAACCCAAUCAUUUUUCUAGUGUUACAUUAGCACCAACUUUAUUAUUGUGAGAUCCUCAUAAUCCUAACAAACAUCUCAAUCUCAUCAAAACAAUACGAAAAACCCUAUCAUAAUCAUUGGUGAUGCAAGAAUAAAAUUGAAAAUAAGAGGAAACACAGAUGAAUAGAGUGACAAAAUAAACAAGUUAGAGAUGUGUAACCUUCAAAAGAUUAACCUAUAUCAGAAAUCAAUUGUUCCGUACAUUUGAUAGAUAAGAAAGAAAAUUACUCAUAAAAGAUAGAAAAAAAAGGAAAAUAUGACAAUUUUUCAGCAGUACGUAUUUUUUUACCCUUUGUAUUUUGUUUAUACAAUCAUAAAGUGAUUAUGAACCAGAGAUUUCUAUUAAAUAUUGUAAGCUAAAUAAUUAUAUUAAGUAAAUCCUCAAUUAUAUAAAUCAAUCAAACAUUUAUUGAGUAACAAACCUUGACAUUAACUAGUUUAGAAAGAUAUGUAUUGAACAUCAAAAUUAAUUAAAUAUAUACUUAUAUCCUAAAGAACAUAAAAUGUCAUCUUCUAUAUUCUGAUAAUUAAACGAUU
rnacentral:lncRNA from 1 species